UCGCCGCAGCCCCCCUCGCUCCCCCCCGGACUUCGGAAGUGCACGUAAUGCGACUUGACUCCUAGGAAGUUAAAGAGCAGAGCAACUUCAUUUUGUGCAGGCGCACAGGUGUGGGGACGAAGGCAGAGAGAAUCCUUCAAGAAGGGCACAGGGACUCGAACUGGCAUUGGAGUGUGGCCGAGUUUAGAUGCGUGAAGGGGAGGAGCCACAGCAACCUACAUGAGGCUUUUGGCUGCAGAAAGAUGCAUUUGGGCAUGAGCCUCUGACGUGGAAAUAAGCGCUUUGGAGCUCAGCCUCGCCAGGGGGAAUGAAGUCACGGGUGGCGUGGCGGCAGAAAAAUAACGUGGUUUGAUGCAAUGGCCCAACACAAUAGGAGCUAAUGAAUAGAGCGUGUUGCACUCCAGAGACUGCCGUUCAAUUACUGGUGGUGCCAAUCAAGUCAGAAAUAUUAACCAUGGUAACCGCAGACGUCCAGCUCUAUGGCCGCGCGGGGAAGGCAGCUGCUCCGGGAAGCCCCAGGUCCCGGGAGGGACAAAGCACCACCGAGCCAUGAAUGGCUCCUUCCCAGAGCCUCGUGGGGCAUUGGGCAAGAGACGAAAGAUCCAAUACUAACAUCUGUGCUGUAAUUUUCCGUGACUGCAUCCGGGUGACCGAAAGCAUGACUACUCUUUUCUGGAUCAAAACGUCUUUCAGGCUUGAUCCUGACCUCUUUGGACAAACACAGCUUAGGUAAGAGUCUAAACUCUUCUUUUGGACGUUGAGCAAAACUGGAAAUUUUGUCAGUGGGAAACAACCAAAGUUCAUGGCCAAAUAGCAGUGUGUUUGCUUAACCUUGGGGAAAAUGAUUUUUUUUUUUAAGUUACAAAACUGGAUGCAAUUGUAACCCUUCCCCCCAACUAAAAAGGCAACAGAAAACAUGAAGGCUGAAAUGAGAAAACAUUGUGUGUGUGUGUGUGUGUGUGUGUGUGUGUGUGUGUGUGUUGUCAAAAGACAGAAUCAGAACAAAUUCAGUUCAAAGAUCCGAACUGUCUUUU
rnacentral:lncRNA from 1 species